AUAAUAGGUUGAUUUGCCCCCUGGAAACGCCAGUGAUACCCUUACAAAAGUUGAGUUCUAGAACCGUUUCUGUCCAGGAUCCGCUGACUGGAUGUUGUUUUUCUUGAUACAGAAAAUAAAUAAAAGAACACAGCUUUUGACUAUGCGUACUAUAAAAAGAUUUGGAAAGACUUCGUGAUCACAGCAAUGAUCCUUAACAGACAGAUCCGCUUAACAAGAAUGAUAA